rnacentral:lncRNA from 1 species
AUAUUAUUAAGCUGCUAAAUUAACUAAUCUUGGAAACUUCUAGACUCUACAAUUCUUGUUGUAUGAGAAAUCAUCUACUACAUAAAUUCUGGUUUCAUACUUCGCCAUUCCUGCUUACGGAGCUAACAAAUACAUUUAAGAGUGGGUUGACAAUUAUUCUCUGGACUUUUUGGUAACCAAGAACUUCUAGCAACUAACCCUGGCAUGACCACCAGAAUCUGCAGGGCUGAGAGAGGAAAGAAAGGCAAAAGUGGAUGAAUGCAGCUGAAGAUGGUAUGGAACUCCUAUCACAUUCCAAGUGCUGUGUUGAUAUCUGGAGAUAUAGACAAGAUUGAAGCAGAUGCAGAGUCUUUCACAUGAAUAUUUGAAUCAGGUAUUAAUGGAAUGGCUUCAAUAAUACAGUAAAAUUAAGAUAUUCAAAGAAGCAGGAUGCAGGUGAAGGGUAUUGGCCUCAGCUUUAGAGACCAGAGGUUAAAUCUCGAUGCUGCCACAAAACAAUCCACGUAAGUCAGUAAACAAUGCUUUUU